GAUAGCGAUGAAGGGGAUAAGCGCGACACGUGGCACGCACCAGUUGGCCCAGGAAUACCCGCCGCCAUAACUGCGCUAGGAUCCGUCGGCUAUUUAAACCCCCUAGUCCUUUCAUGGCUUCAUCCUGGCGCCUUUCUUUCGCCUGAGAGCCUUGCUUCCCUCGCACCAGUCCUUGCCUUCUUCAGCCCCCCAAUUCUUCUCUGAGGGUUCCUACGCCAUGUCCUCUACCCCGGAGGCCAUUCUUGAGGGGAUGUCUAGGGCUUGGAGGAAGGUGAGGAGGAGAACG
rnacentral:lncRNA from 1 species